UGCCACCACCUCCCUUCCCCGCCGUCCUCGCCUCCUAAUUUCCUUUUCCAUUUUCCAAUUUUAUUUUAAAUCCUCGCUGCACAUGACAUGAACAUGACUCCCUCGAGAUCUUCCACUUCUUCUUCUCCUCCUCCUUCACCACACAGCCAAAAACCCUAGCUCCCUAAAUCCUCUUCACUUUCGAGAUUUCGGAAACCGGAUUUUGGAUUUUCCAAUUUUUUUAACCGUUUUUUUUGGUUCCGCCGAUGCCGAGGAUCGUCGAUUGACUCGAUGGUGUGGAGGCUAUUUGAUGAAGCCAUUGCGGAGAUACUCGAGGAUUCUGAUCCUCUGCUUCCUCUCUUUCUCUGUUCUCGCUCCUAUUUUUCUACUGUCGCAUCGCCUCAAACAUGCCGAUGUAUCUGAAGAAUUUAUUGAAGAUUUAUCAUUCAUUAAACAUAGGACGGAGGCUCAUUCACUUAGUGCAAUUGAGCAGGAAGGCGUUCGAGGUUUGAAAGAACCAACGCUGCUGGUGUACAAAGAUGAUCACUCUAAUUCGUCGAUUAAUGUUAGUUCUGAUGAUGAUACAAGAUUUGGCGAAGUUAGAUUUGCUACAGAUGGUACUCACUUACCGAUAAAAAAUGCUACCAGACAUGACAGAGAUGGAGGUAGCCAGAAAAAAGAGCUGGAAGAAGAAUUGCUGGUGUCUGAUGUAAAGGAAGUGUCACAUAUAGGCAAGGGACAUGAUAACUCGGUUGCACGCACCAGACAGGGGACACGGAUGGUAGAUGAGACGGUAAAAGAGAUGAAAGACCAGGUGAUUAGGGCCAGAGCUUACUUAAACUUCACACCAACAAAUAGCAGUUCUCAUUUUGUCAAAGAGUUGAAGCUUCGAAUGAGAGAGCUUGAACGAGCUGUAAGUCAGUCCACCAAAGAUUCUAGAGUAUCUAGGAGUUCUCUGCAGAAGAUGAAAGCAAUGGAAUCUACCCUGUCAAAAGCAAGUCGUCUGUACCCUGAUUGUACUGCCAUGAUAAAGAAACUACGUGCUAUGACUUAUAGUGCGGAAGAGCAGGUUCGGUCUCAUAGUAAACAAGAAGCUUUCCUAAGAGGGCUUGGUGCAAGAACCAUACCAAAAGGCUUUCACUGCCUCUCUAUGAGGUUGACCGCUGAGUAUUUUAACUUGAAGCCUGAGGAAAGAGAGCUUCCUUACCAACAUAAAUUACAAGAUCCAUAUCUUUACCACUUUGCCCUAUUCUCUGACAAUGUAUUGGCUUGUGCGGUUGUUGUGAACUCAACUGUCUCCACUGCCAGGGAACCGGAGAAAGUAGUUUUUCAUAUAGUGAGUGAUUCACUAAACGUGCCAGCAAUUUCAAUGUGGUUCUUAUUGAACCCUCCCGGAAAAGCUACAGUCAAUGUGGAGAGCAUUGAUAAUUUUCAAUGGCUAGCCACCAAAUAUGAUGUAACUUUGGGGAAGGAAGGUUCAGUUGAUCAGCGAUAUACUUCUGAGCUGAACCACCUCCGGUUUUAUUUACCAGAUAUUUUUCCUCGUCUGAACAAGAUUGUCUUUCUUGAUCAUGAUGUGGUAGUGAAAAAGGAUUUAACACGACUUUGGAGCAUCGACAUGAGAGGCAAAGUAAAUGGGGCGGUCGAGACUUGUAAGGAAGGGGAGAUCUCAUUCCAUCGUAUGGAUAUGCUAAUUGAUUUCACAGACCCAAUGGUGGCUAAAAAAUUUAAGGCCAACUCAUGCACGUGGGCUUUUGGGAUGAAUCUAUUUGAUCUUAAUGCAUGGAGGCGGCGGAAUCUAACUGUUCUAUAUCACAAAUACCUCCGUUUGGGGAAACAAAGGCAAUUAUGGCUUGCGGGAAGCUUGCCCAUAGGUUGGGCCACCUUCUACAAAGACACUCUCCCAUUAGACAAGAGUUGGCAUGUACUCGGGUUGGGAUACGACGCAGGUGUGAGGACAGAGGACAUUGAACGGGCGGCCGUUGUACAUUUUGAUGGAAUCAUGAAACCGUGGUUGGAUAUCGGGAUAGACAAGUACAAGCACUUGUGGAAUAAACAUGUCAAGUUUGAGCAUCCGUAUCUACAACAAUGCAAUCUCCACGCCUAGUUGGAUUCAAAACAUAGCAUUCUUUGUCAUUUUUCAACAUUUUUUUACUGUAUGGAGACCACACUCCUUAGUGGCUGGGAGUGGAUGAUGUGCCACGUGGAGGAAGGUGGUUGGUUUAUAAUAGAUUAGAAGCUAGAUGCCCAAUCCGUGGCGUGUGGUUGAUUGUUCUCCUUUGAUAUAGAGAGGAACAUUAGAUACAUACACUUGCAUGCCCAUACACACAUACACACAGAGUCAAGAACUGGUAUCUCCUAAAAUGGCCACCAUCACUGCCUGCACCUCUACCUCGUUGGUCGCACGCGCCGCCCUCGUGCAGAAGGCCUCGCCCGCCCGCCCCGCGACCGUGCUCGGUCUGCCAUCAAUCUCAAAGAUGGGGAGAGUGAGAUGCUCCGUGGAGGGGAAGCCAGAGGGGAGUGACAGCAAGUUGGGGAUGGGUGGUUCGAUGAUGGCUGCAGCGGUGGCGGCGGCGAUGUCAAGCCCGGCAGCGAUGGCACUGGUGGAUGACAGAAUGAGCACAGAGGGAACAGGGCUGCCAUUCGGGUUGAGCAACAACCUCCUUGGGUGGAUCUUGUUGGGUGUGUUUGGUUUGAUUUGGG